rnacentral:rRNA from 1 species
GGUGCAUGGUUGUCGUCAGCUCGUGUCGUGAGAUGUUGGGUUAAGUCCCGCAACGAGCGCAACCCNUAUCCUUAGUUGCCAGCAUUCAGUUGGGCACUCUAGGGAGACUGCCGGUGACAAACCGGAGGAAGGUGGGGAUGACGUCAAAUCAUCAUGCCCCUUAUGAGUUGGGCUACACACGUGCUACAAUGGACGGUACAAAGGGCAGCGAGACCGCGAGGUGGAGCCAAUCCCAUAAAGCCGUUCNCAGUUCGGAUUGCAGGCUGCAACUCGCCUGCAUGAAGUCGGAAUCGCUAGUAAUCGCAGGUCAGCAUACUGCGGUGAAUACGUUCCCGGGUCUUGUACACACCGCCCGUCACACCACGAGAGUUUGCAACACCCGAAGCCGGUGAGUAACCNUCAAGGAGCCAGCCGUCGAAGU